GAAUUUUGGACAAUGGGCGAAAGCCUGAUCCAGCAAUGCCGCGUGCAGGAUGAAGGCCUUCGGGUUGUAAACUGCUUUUGUACGGAACGAAAAGCCUCGGGCUAAUACCCUGGGACCAUGACGGUACCGUAAGAAUAAGCACCGGCUAACUACGUGCCAGCAGCCGCGGUAAUACGUAGGGUGCAAGCGUUAAUCGGAAUUACUGGGCGUAAAGCGUGCGCACGCGGUUAUAUAAGACAGAUGUGAAAUCCCCGGGCUCACCCUGGGAACUGCAUUUGUGACUAUAUAGCUAGAGUACGGUAGAGGGGACAGCACUUCCGAGUGAACACGUGCAAGAAAUCGACAAAACAACGACCAAACAGAGAAAAGACAAACACCUGGACCUGUACUGACGCUCAUGCACGAAAGCGUGGGGAGCAAACAG
rnacentral:rRNA from 1 species